UACGUAGGGCGCAAGCGUUAUCCGGAAUUAUUGGGCGUAAAGAGCUCGUAGGCGGUUUGUCGCGUCUGCUGUGAAAACGCGGGGCUCAACUCCGCGCCUGCAGUGGGUACGGGCAGACUAGAGUGCAGUAGGGGAGACUGGAAUUCCUGGUGUAGCGGUGGAAUGCGCAGAUAUCAGGAGGAACACCGGUGGCGAAGGCGGGUCUCUGGGCUGUAACUGACGCUGGAGGAGCGAAAGCGUGGGUAGCGAACAGG
rnacentral:rRNA from 1 species